AUCAUCUUUUGGCUAAGAUCAAACUGUAGUAUCUGUUCUUACCACGUUAAUAUCUGAUACGUCCUGCAUCAUAGGACCAGAAUAUUAAACUAAUUUUUGGCUCAUGACGGAGUGCUAGGGGCUUGCUCCACCUCUAUAGGAUACAAAGAGUAGAGACAACACAUACUUGAAAUACAUCUAAACAU